CACAGGGGGAGCUGCCCUUUCCAGCACAGAGCAGGGAGAGGCUGGAGGGGCAGCCCUGUCUGCCCUUCGCUUUCAGGUGACCUGGGUGCAUUGCUGAGAUGGUGGAUCAGCAACUCCAGCCAUUUUGUCUUUGUCCACCAUUCACUGGUGGCAACAGGAAGCUUGUCACAGAUUUCAGUGGACAUGGUGUGAAGUCUAAAGCUUUGCUGGAAUCUUCUUCUGCCUUAUGAAAGAAACUGCCCUCUUCUGAAACAGCCUCCUGCUCAGAUUUAAAGUCAAGACACAUCCUCUCCCUUAAGAUCAAUACUCAGAGGUGAGGAAUAUCAUUCUGCUGCAAAGGAAAAGGCAAGAACAAUCCAUUGGAGAAGAAGAAGAAGAUGGUAACAUCUGUUUCAGGAAGCUGUGAGUACUGUAAUAUAAUUUCCAAGGUCUGUCUGAAUCAGUUUAUGGCAUACCAGUGAAUAAUUUUACCGUUCGUUCAGCUGUUCUUACAUAGAUGUUGCCAUUCAAAACAACAUCUAUGUGAGAUGAUGUUGUUCUUCUUAGCCUGGGAAUAUAAAGAGGGUGUUACAAUUUAAUUUUUUUUCCUUAAGUGAACUGACCAUCCAGUGGCCUUGAAAAAUCAUCAAAAGCUUUUGGAAGUGUGACAUGUCUCCAAAGGAUUGAUCCCAUCUUUUGGCUACAGAAGACAGGCUCAGAGCUUGCAGAACCAGGCAUCAGUAGCAGGAGUAGGAAGAGUACAGAAACAAGAGGGCAAGGCCAUGGAGGGAAAAGCACAUUAACGAAUUUGUGCCAGCAGAAGACUUCUGGGCAUCUCCAUUAAUAACAUGAGUAAUGAAAACUUCAGGUGUCCCUGGCCAGAGCUUGAAAAUGAAUCUUUCUUCAUUGUGUAUUUAUGUAAAAGCUGAGGUGAAGCUGAUUAGAAGUGAGGGAAAGUUGUGAGAUUAGAAGGUUUUAUAACAGGCCCUAACUAAGCAGAAACAAGUGCUUCUGUGUCAACACAAACACAGUUUUAUGCCUGAGCAAACAGCAUCCUGUGGUCUGUGAGGCAAUGACACAAGCCUGGUAACACUGAGAGUGGUCCAAGCCAUCUGAUCCACCCCUGUGUGAAGGUUGAAUUCCACCUGUAAUGCCCUUCGUAAGUAGGGGUGUGACACUGGGUCACCAAUAGUCUUUGCAAUGCCUGUUACUAACUCUGCUGCAUGCCACAGUGAUUGGAGGAGACCACAAGUAGUCCUGGCAGGUAUUCAAAACUGUUUUCCAGUUAAUUUGUUAAAAAUCAACCCAGAGUUUUGUGGGCAGUAAAGCUGCUAGGAAGAGAAAACCACUCUAAGGAAUAAACACUACAAAAAAGAGCUUUCA
rnacentral:lncRNA from 1 species